rnacentral:rRNA from 1 species
CCUACGGGUGGCAGCAGUGAGGAAUAUUGGUCAAUGGGCGAGAGCCUGAACCAGCCAAGUCGCGUGAGGGAAGACGGUCCUAUGGAUUGUAAACCUCUUUUGUCGGGGAGCAAAAAGGCCCCGUGAGGCCACAAGUGAGAGUACCCGAAGAAAAAGCAUCGGCUAACUCCGGGCCAGCAGCCGCGGCAUAACGGAGGAUGGGAGCGUUUUCCGGAUUUAUUGGGUUGAAGGGGUGCGUAGGCGGACGGGAAAGUCAGUGGUAAAAUUGCGGGGCUCAACCUCGCUCCGCCGUUGAAACUGGCGUUCUUGAGUGGGCGAGAAGUAUGCGGAAUGCGUGGUGUAGCGGUGAAAUGCAUAGAUAUCACGCAGAACUCCGAUUGCGAAGGCAGCAUACCGGCGCCCAACUGACGCUGAAGCACGAAAGCGUGGGUAUCGAACAGGAUUAGAUACCCCUGUAGUC